AGUGAGUACAGUGGCGAACGGGUGCGUAACACGUUGGUGACCUGCCCCGAGGUGGGGGAUAACUGUGGGAAACCACAGCUAAUACCCCAGAUGUCAAGGAGUCUAGACGCCCUUGACUAAAGUUCCGGCGCCUCGGGAGGGGCCUGCGGGCUAUCAGCUUGUUGGUGGGGUAAUGGCCCACCAAGGCUAAGACGGCUAGGGGGCGUGAGAGCGCGACCCCCCACAAUGGGACUGAGACACGGCCCAU
rnacentral:rRNA from 1 species